rnacentral:rRNA from 1 species
CUGAGUAACAGCCGCCGCGGUAAUACGUAGGUGGCAAGCGUUGUCCGGAAUUAUUGGNCGUAAAGCGCGCGCAGGCGGUCCUUUANGUCUGAUGUGAAAGCCCACGGCUCAACCGCGGAGGGUCAUUGGAAACUGGGGGACUCGAGUACAGAAGAGAAGAGUGGAAUUCCACGUNUAGCGGCGAAAUGCGUAGAGAUGUGGAGGAACACCAG